rnacentral:rRNA from 1 species
UACAGAGGGGGCAAGCGUUAUUCGGAAUUAUUGGGCGUAAAGGGCGCGUAGGCGGCUUGGCAAGUGGAUGGUGAAAUCCCUCGGCUUAACCGAGGAACUGCCGUCCAAACUGCUUAGCUUGAGACCGGGAGAGGUGAGUGGAAUUCCCGAGUGUAGCGGUGAAAUGCGUAGAUAUUGGGAGGAACACCAGUGGCGAAGGCGGCUCACUGGACCGGUACUGACGCUGAGACGCGAAAGCGUGGGGAGCGAACAGG